GACGAACGCUGGCGGCGUGCUUAACACAUGCAAGUCGAACGGAAAGGCCCUGCUUUCGUGGGGUGCUCGAGUGGCGAACGGGUGAGUAACACGUGAGUAACCUGCCCUUGACUUUGGGAUAACUUCAGGAAACUGGGGCUAAUACCGGAUAGGAGCUCCUGCUGCAUGGUGGGGGUUGGAAAGUUUCGGCGGUUGGGGAUGGACUCGCGGCUUAUCAGCUUGUUGGUGGGGUAGUGGCUUACCAAGGCUUUGACGGGUAGCCGGCCUGAGAGGGUGACCGGCCACAUUGGGACUGAGAUACGGCCCAGACUCCUACGGGAGGCAGCAGUGGGGAAUAUUGCACAAUGGGCGGAAGCCUGAUGCAGCAACGCCGCGUGCGGGAUGACGGCCUUCGGGCUGUAAACCGCUUUCGCCUGUGACGAAGCGUGAGUGACGGUAAUGGGUAAAGAAGCACCGGCUAACUACGUG
rnacentral:rRNA from 1 species